rnacentral:rRNA from 1 species
UGAGGAACCUGCCCCGAAGACCGGGAUAACCCUCCGAAAGGAGAGCUAAUACCGGAUGCCCUCUUCUGAUCGCAUGGUCGGAUGAGGAAAGGAUUCUGCUUCGGGAGGGCCUCGCGGCCUAUCAGCUAGUUGGUGAGGUAACGGCUCACCAAGGCUACGAUGGGUAGCUGGUCUGAGAGGACGAUCAGCCACACUGGGACUGAGACACGGCCCAGACUCCUACGGGAGCAG